GCUAUGCGCAAUUCUUGACGAUUCGAACCUGCUGCAGGUUCGUGUCGAACGUAGUGAGACAACGGAGCCGCUUGCGGCGACGGCCCGCAGGGCGAGCGAAGCGAGUCAUCCUGCACGACCCACCA
rnacentral:sRNA from 1 species